UACGAGGGGGGCGAGCGUUGUUCGGAAUUACUGGGCGUAAAGCGUGCGCAGGCGGUUCGUUAAGUCAGCUGUGAAAGCCCCGGGCUUAACCUGGGAAUGGCGGUUGAAACUGGCGAACUUGAAUCUGGCAGAGGGGGGUGGAAUUCCACGUGUAGCAGUGAAAUGCGUAGAGAUGUGGAGGAACACCGAUGGCGAAGGCAGCCCCCUGGGCUGAGAUUGACGCUCAGGCACGAAAGCGUGGGGAGCAAACAGG
rnacentral:rRNA from 1 species